UGUUGACAGCGCUGCUGAGUCAAAGUUAAGCAAAUUAAUCCGCGACCAUGGGUCGCCAUAAAGUUAACAUCUUCUUUAGUAACUUUUUCAGCUGCAAUC
rnacentral:antisense_RNA from 1 species